AACGUAGGAGGCGAGCGUUAUCCGGAUUUACUGGGUGUAAAGCGCGUGUAGGCGGCAGUGCAAGUUGUCUGUGAAAGCGCCCGGCUCAACCGGGCGAGGACGGGCAAGACUGCGCAGCUAGAGGCAGGUAGAGGUGUGUGGAAUUCCGGGUGUAGUGGUGAAAUGCGUAGAGAUCCGGAGGAACACCAGUGGCGAAGGCGACACACUGGGCCUGACCUGACGCUCAGACGCGAAAGCAUGGGGAGCGAACGGG
rnacentral:rRNA from 1 species